GGAAAAAUCAAUGGAACAUAAAUCGAUGGAUUACAGCAUCGUUGAUUGGUCAGCUGAGGAGCGAGUGCCAGCUGGAUACCUCGGUUCUCCUUUGCAUUGUGGCUGCACGAGGAAUUAAGAAAGUGACUCCUUAUGGAUGCUGAGAAGGCGCCAGGAGAGAACUGGGAGGCAGAUGGGAGCCGGAGCCUGUCCAUGGUCUUCAGGGCAUGUACAAGAAGGAGCCUUUGCCCAAAGAAACCUCUGGCUCUGUCCCGCUUAUUGUGUGAAACUUACUGCAUCUGCAGARGCUGCGCCUAGAAAAAACUCUGUGUUUCUAAAGCCUCUAGAAUACUUUAAAAGAGUAGUGCUUAGUUAUAGUUAUCCAAAGGGAUAUUAUGUUUUGGUGCCAUAUUUUGAGAUGGCUCUUUUUUGUACUGCUGAAUGUAGCAAUAGACUGUACUGUGUUUGGUUAGCUCAUUUCUAGUGUAAUAUGAGGUAGGAAACCUAUGUAAUAUGACAACAUGGCUGGUUCAGAGAAAAAGAAAGUGUAAAUCAUGCAGUAUAAUGCACAGCAAGAAGCAGCCAUAAGGCAAUUGCAAAAUGAAUGGCAGAUCUUGAUAUCUGAGUUUAUUCAAAAAUGUAUUGAUCUCCUUUUAAACUGAGUGGACUUGAGAGCAGCUGGAUGUGAAGGUUGAAACACUGACAAUGGAGAUUUCCUUUUAUUGAGUAUUUUCAUGAAAAUUAGUCUUUCCAGUGCCCCUCA